UCGGGAACGUACCCAUUGGUACCUUGCGGUGAUCAACACCAAAAAACAUGAGAUUCAAGUGCUUGACUCUCUUGGAAAGCCGCAGCAAGAACGUGCUGAGCUGAAAUAUACGCUAAAACAGAUUGAACAAUGCCUUGAGCUAGCUUCGAAUGCUGUUGAAUCCGAUUUGUGGCCAGAUUACGAAGUUGCAUCUUGGAAGGUGAACGAAGUAAAACGCAUAGCCAGGCAAAGAGACGGGUCAUCAUGUGGGCUUUUUACGAUCAAAUACAUGGAGUACUGGACCGGACAAAAGCUUAGAGAACAAAUUAACCAGGUUCCCUGUUCGCAUUUAUUGGUUUCACUCUUCUUGUAUUGAAUCACUCCACACAUCCUUGCAUGUUUCGGUAAUUUAUCAUGUAUAUGUAGGAAUACAUAGACAUUUUCAGGCGAAAAUUGGGAGUGCACUUGAUGACCAGUGCACUCAACAAAGCAGGGAAACGACCUACGACGAAAGGAGCUGACCAGGGAGAAGGUACGAAGAAGGCUGGUAAAUAAGAUGCUGCACAGGGAGACGGUUGCAAGAAAGGGAAAAUGUAAAUUACAAUAUGCGCUUUUUAAUUUUAUUAAAUGUAGGCACUAAGAUUAUGAUGAGGAAGAUGUACGGCCAAUAGGUUGUAAAAUCAGAGGUUCAGUUCAUGAAAUUUAGAACUGGAAUUAUUGGA